AGUAACACGUGAGCAACCUGCCUUUCAGAGGGGGAUAACAGUUGGAAACGACUGCUAAUACCGCAUAACGCUGCGAUGGGGCAUCCCGAUGCAGCCAAAGGAGCAAUCCGCUGGAAGAUGGGCUCGCGGCCGAUUAGCUAGUUGGUGGGGCAACGGCCCACCAAGGCGACGAUCGGUAGCCGGACUGAGAGGUUGAUCGGCCACAUUGGAACUGAGACACGGUCCAAACUCCUACGGAAGGCAGCAG
rnacentral:rRNA from 1 species